GACGAUCUCAGAGCAGGCGAGACUACCCGCUGAAUUUAAGCAUAUUACUAAGCGGAGGAAAAGAAACUAACAAGGAUUUCCUUAGUAGCGGCGAGCGAACAGGAAUUAGCCCAGCACUGAAUCCCGCGGUUCUGCCGUUGGGAAAUGUAGUGUUCGGGAGGGUUCGUUUUAUCCCGCGGCGUCGGACCGCGUCCAAGUCCAUCUUGAAUGGGGCCAUUUACCCGUAGAGGGUGCCAGGCCCGUAGAGACCGGGACGCGCCGUGGGUGAACCUCUCCUUAGAGUCGGGUUGCUUGAGAGUGCAGCUCUAAGUUGGUGGUAAACUCCAUCUAAGGCUAAAUAUG
rnacentral:rRNA from 1 species